rnacentral:rRNA from 1 species
AAGGGUGGCGUAGGCGGCCUGUUAAGUCAGAGGUGAAAGACGGUAGCUCAACUAUCGCAGUGCCUUUGAUACUGAUGGGCUUGAAUGGACUAGAGGUAGGCGGAAUGAGACAAGUAGCGGUGAAAUGCAUAGAUAUGUCUCAGAACACCGAUUGCGAAGGCAGCUUACUAUGGUUUUAUUGACGCUGAGGCACGAAAGCGUGGGGAUCAAACAGGAUUAGAUACCCUGGU